AAAUUGAAGAGUUUGAUCAUGGCUCAGAUUGAACGCUGGCGGCAGGCCUAACACAUGCAAGUCGAGCGGUAGCACAGAGAGCUUGCUCUCGGGUGACGAGCGGCGGACGGGUGAGUAAUGUCUGGGAAACUGCCUGAUGGAGGGGGAUAACUACUGGAAACGGUAGCUAAUACCGCAUAACGUCGCAAGACCAAAGAGGGGGACCUUCGGGCCUCUUGCCAUCAGAUGUGCCCAGAUGGGAUUAGCUAGUAGGUGGGGUAACGGCUCACCUAGGCGACGAUCCCUAGCUGGUCUGAGAGGAUGACCAGCCACACUGGAACUGAGACACGGUCCAGACUCCUACGGGAGGCAGCAGUGGGGAAUAUUGCACAAUGGGCGCAAGCCUGAUGCAGCCAUGCCGCGUGUAUGAAGAAGGCCUUCGGGUUGUAAAGUACUUUCAGCGGGGAGGAAGGCGGUGAGGUUAAUAACCUCAUCGAUUGACGUUACCCGCAGAAGAAGCACCGGCUAACUCCGUGCCAGCAGCCGCGGUAAUACGGAGGGUGCAAGCGUUAAUCGGAAUUACUGGGCGUAAAGCGCACGCAGGCGGUCUGUCAAGUCGGAUGUGAAAUCCCCGGGCUCAACCUGGGAACUGCAUUCGAAACUGGCAGGCUAGAGUCUUGUAGAGGGGGGUAGAAUUCCAGGUGUAGCGGUGAAAUGCGUAGAGAUCUGGAGGAAUACCGGUGGCGAAGGCGGCCCCCUGGACAAAGACUGACGCUCAGGUGCGAAAGCGUGGGGAGCAAACAGGAUUAGAUACCCUGGUAGUCCACGCCGUAAACGAUGUCGACUUGGAGGUUGUGCCCUUGAGGCGUGGCUUCCGGAGCUAACGCGUUAAGUCGACCGCCUGGGGAGUACGGCCGCAAGGUUAAAACUCAAAUGAAUUGACGGGGGCCCGCACAAGCGGUGGAGCAUGUGGUUUAAUUCGAUGCAACGCGAAGAACCUUACCUACUCUUGACAUCCAGAGAACUUAGCAGAGAUGCUUUGGUGCCUUCGGGAACUCUGAGACAGGUGCUGCAUGGCUGUCGUCAGCUCGUGUUGUGAAAUGUUGGGUUAAGUCCCGCAACGAGCGCAACCCUUAUCCUUUGUUGCCAGCGGUUAGGCCGGGAACUCAAAGGAGACUGCCAGUGAUAAACUGGAGGAAGGUGGGGAUGACGUCAAGUCAUCAUGGCCCUUACGAGUAGGGCUACACACGUGCUACAAUGGCGCAUACAAAGAGAAGCGACCUCGCGAGAGCAAGCGGACCUCAUAAAGUGCGUCGUAGUCCGGAUUGGAGUCUGCAACUCGACUCCAUGAAGUCGGAAUCGCUAGUAAUCGUAGAUCAGAAUGCUACGGUGAAUACGUUCCCGGGCCUUGUACACACCGCCCGUCACACCAUGGGAGUGGGUUGCAAAAGAAGUAGGUAGCUUAACCUUCGGGAGGGCGCUUACCACUUUGUGAUUCAUGACUGGGGUGAAGUCGUAACAAGGUAACCGUAGGGGAACCUGCGGUUGGAUCACCUCCUUACCUUAAAGAA
rnacentral:rRNA from 1 species